GAUGAACGCUAGCUACAGGCUUAACACAUGCAAGUCGAGGGGCAGCAUUAUCGAAGCUUGCUUUGAUAGAUGGCGACCGGCGCACGGGUGAGUAACGCGUAUCCAACCUUCCCAUCACUCAGGGAUAGCCCGCCGAAAGACGGAUUAAUGCCCUAUGUUGUGCGAAGAUGGCAUCAGAUUUGCACGAAAGAUUUUAUCGGCAUGGGAUGGGGAUGCGUAGGAUUAGGUAGUCGGCGGGGUAACGGCCCACCGAGCCUUCGAUCCUUAGGGGUUCUGAGAGGAAGGUCCCCCACACUGGUACUGAGACACGGACCAGACUCC
rnacentral:rRNA from 1 species